AAGUAUGUAGCUCAGUGGUAGAACACUUUGCCUGCCAUGCAGGAGACCCUGGGAUUAAUCCCAGCAUACCCA
rnacentral:tRNA from 1 species